rnacentral:rRNA from 1 species
AUUGAACGCUGGCGGCAGGCCUAACACAUGCAAGUCGAACGAGUGGCGGACGGGUGAGUAAUGUCUGGGAAACUGCCUGAUGGAGGGGGAUAACUACUGGAAACGGUAGCUAAUACCGCAUACCAUCAGAUGUGCCCAGAUGGGAUUAGCUUGUUGGUGGGGUAACGGCUCACCAAGGCGACGAUCCCUAGCUGGUCUGAGAGGAUGACCAGCCACACUGGGACUGAGACACGGUCCAGAUUCCUACAGUAGGCAGCAGUGGGAAAUCAUGCACAAUGGGCGCAGGCCUGAUGCAGCCAGGCCGCGUGUAUGAAGAAGGAGUUCGGAUUGUAAGGUACGUGCAGCGGUGAGGCGUUAACCGCAGAAGAAGCACCGGCUAACUCCGUGCCAGCAGACGCGGUAAUUC